GAAAGAUUUUUCGGUCUGGGAUGGGCUCGCGGCCUAUCAGCUUGUUGGUGAGGUAAUGGCUCACCAAGGCGUCGACGGGUAGCCGGCCUGAGAGGGUGACCGGCCACACUGGGACUGAGACACGGCCCAGACUCCUACGGGAGGCAGCAGUGGGGAAUAUUGCACAAUGGGCGGAAGCCUGAUGCAGCAACGCCGCGUGAGGGAUGACGGCCUUCGGGUUGUAAACCUCUUUUAGCAGGGAAGAAGCGAAAGUGACGGUACCUGCAGAAAAAGCGCCGGCUAACUACGUGCCAGCAGCCGCGGUAAUACGUAGGGCGCAAGCGUUAUCCGGAAUUAUUGGGCGUAAAGAGCUCGUAGGCGGUUUGUCGCGUCUGCUGUGAAAUCCCGAGGCUCAACCUCGGGCCUGCAGUGGGUACGGGCAGACUAGAGUGCGGUAGGGGAGAUUGGAAUUCCUGGUGUAGCGGUGGAAUGCGCAGAUAUCAGGAGGAACACCGAUGGCGAAGGCAGAUCUCUGGGCCGUAACUGACGCUGAGGAGCGAAAGGGUGGGGAGCAAACAGGCUUAGAUACCCUGGUAGUCCACCCCGUAAACGUUGGGAACUAGUUGUGGGGUCCUUUCCACGGAUUCCGUGACGCAGCUAACGCAUUAAGUUCCCCGCCUGGGGAGUACGGCCGCAAGGCUAAAACUCAAAGGAAUUGACGGGGACCCGCACAAGCGGCGGAGCAUGCGGAUUAAUUCGAUGCAACGCGAAGAACCUUACCAAGGCUUGACAUACACGAGAACGGGCCAGAAAUGGUCAACUCUUUGGACACUCGUGAACAGGUGGUGCAUGGUUGUCGUCAGCUCGUGUCGUGAGAUGUUGGGUUAAGUCCCGCAACGAGCGCAACCCUCGUUCUAUGUUGCCAGCACGUUAUGGUGGGAACUCAUGGGAUACUGCCGGGGUCAACUCGGAGGAAGGUGGGGAUGACGUCAAAUCAUCAUGCCCCUUAUGUCUUGGGCUUCACGCAUGCUACAAUGGCCGGUACAAAGGGCUGCAAUACCGUGAGGUGGAGCGAAUCCCAAAAAGCCGGUCCCAGUUCGGAUUGAGGUCUGCAACUCGACCUCAUGAAGUCGGAGUCG
rnacentral:rRNA from 1 species